rnacentral:rRNA from 1 species
CGCGUAGGCGGUUGUGAUAGUCAGGUGUGAAAAUCCUUCGGCUUAACCGGAGAACUGCAUCUGAAACUUCAUAACUAGAGUACAGGAGAGGGAAACGGAAUUCCCGGUGUAGAGGUGAAAUUCGUAGAUAUCGGGAGGAACACCAGUGGCGAAGGCGGUUUCCUGGCCUGAUACUGACGCUGAGGCGCGAAAGCGUGGGGAGCAAACAGGAUUAGAUACCCUGGUAGUCCACGCGGUAAACGGUGAACACUAGGUGUGGGAGGUGUAAUACCUUCUGUGCCGAAGCUAACGCGUUAAGUGUUCCGCCUGGGAAGUUACGGCCGCGAAGGUUGAA